GGCCCUGCAGGGCCAGUGGGCCUCAGAGGGGAGCCAGGAUUUGAAGGAUCAAUGGUAAAAGCCAAAUUCAGUCUGAAGAGUUUUUUUUUUCCUAAUGAGAAAGCUCAUCAAUACAUGUCUUGUUUUCAGGGUCGAACAGGGCAGAGGGGUCACACUGGCAUGCCUGGACUUCCUGGUUUUCCUGGCCCACCUGGACCUGUUGGAGCUGAAGGAAAGCCUGGGACUGCAAGGCCUUGUGGGUAAUGCAGGAAGUAAAGGACUAAUGGGAUUGCAAGGUAUUCCUGGAGAACAUGGUCAGGAUGGACCCCCAGGAUCUAUGGGUCCACGUGGCCGGGAGGGGCCUAUGGGCAGUCUUGGGCCACCAGGAGAGAGGGUAUGUUUAUGCUUUUUUAUAUUUUUAGUUCUCGUAUAA
rnacentral:lncRNA from 1 species